UACGUAGGGUGCGAGCGUUAAUCGGAAUUACUGGGCGUAAAGCGUGCGUAGGCGGUCCGCUAAGUCUGAUGUGAAAGCCCCGGGCUCAACCUGGGAACUGCAUUGGAAACUAACGGGCUCGAGUGUGGCAGAGGGGGGUGGAAUUCCACGUGUAGCAGUGAAAUGCGUAGAGAUGUGGAGGAACACCGAUGGCGAAGGCAGCCCCCUGGGCUAACACUGACGCUCAGGCACGAAAGCGUGGGGAGCAAACAGG
rnacentral:rRNA from 1 species